rnacentral:rRNA from 1 species
UACGUAGGGUGCGAGCGUUAAUCGGAAUUACUGGGCGUAAAGGGUGCGCAGGCGGUUUUGUAAGCCAGAUGUGAAAUCCCCGGGCUUAACCUGGGAAUGGCAUUUGGGACUGCAAGGCUGGAGUACGGCAGAGGAGACUGGAAUUCCUGGUGUAGCAGUGAAAUGCGUAGAUAUCAGGAGGAAUACCGAUGGCGAAGGCAGGUCUCUGGGCUGAUACUGACGCUCAUGCACGAAAGCGUGGGGAGCAA